UACGAAGGGGGCUAGCGUUGCUCGGAUUGACUGGGCGUAAAGGGCGCGUAGGCGGUUUGUACAGUCAGGCGUGAAAUUCCUGGGCUCAACCUGGGGGCUGCGUUUGAUACGUGCAGACUUGAGUUCGGAAGAGGGUCGUGGAAUUCCCAGUGUAGAGGUGAAAUUCGUAGAUAUUGGGAGGAACACCAGUGGCGAAAGCGACUUUCUGGGGCAUUCCUGACGCUGAGGUUCGAAAGCUCGGGGAGCAAACAGG
rnacentral:rRNA from 1 species